rnacentral:sRNA from 1 species
GCAAUCGACUCUUACCAGUCUCUUUCAGUUUCUUCUCCAACCAAUCCAACUUAAACCCUGCUUU